CGGUGAGGUAGAGGAGCGGGCAAUAUUAGUAAUCAGCUGGAGAAUGACAACGAUGAAAGCUGUGAAAGGGUUGUUUGCCGAAGCAUAAUAAGGGUCAAACUUAUUUAUAGCUGGUAUAUCUUUGAAAAAGGGAUAUACUGUCAUGCAUUGGUGUGCAUGGAGCACUAUUGAUCGA
rfam:Oceanobacillus picturae, S1, WGS project CCAX01000000 data, contig: 000001